rnacentral:lncRNA from 1 species
CAGGAAACCAAGCCCCGGGCAGGGCCCCCAGCCCCUCACCAUGCUGGGUCAGAGUGACGGUGAGCCGGGUGCCCAGAGGCCUGUCUGGUUGGAAUGAGAAGUAGUCAACGUCAGUGACGACAAAACUCUGGCAGGGAAUGACACAUCUCCUGGGCACGCAGCGGGGAUGGGGGCAGGCUGACCAGGGCAUGUCAUCACUGAGGUCACAGGACACUGGCUCCAGGAGGUCCCUGUUGGGAGAGGACACGGCUUAGCCCAGGGUGUAUGGGUAUCACUGACUCACGAAAGGUUCCUCGAGUGCUCACCACAUGCCUGGCUCUGUUCAGAAUCAGGGGCCAGCAGUGAUAAAACACACAAAAAUCCUGCCCACGGAGCUGCCAUCCUGGGAGAAGGGGACCCGCAUGGAACAAAGUGUGUAGCGUGUGCAGUGGAGAGAACUUCAUGUGGAAAAAUAAAGCAAGAAGCAGCCUGCAACUUGGAGGUGAUAGCUGGAGCUUCAGCAGCUAUUUUGGACCAUGAGGUUACCUUGAGGAUGGAAGCCAUAUGUGAAGAUGAUGCAACAGAAAGAGAGGAAGCUGGAUUCCCACUCUCACUCUGGAGCAACCAUACUAGCCUGAAACUGCUACCUCUGGGCAUCUUUUAUAUGCUGGGAAAAAGAAACUUCUAUGUUGUUAAGCCUCUGUUGCUUAGGGAUUUUCCAUGUGCAGCCAAACAGAUACAACAGCAAAUGGGGAAAGCUUCACAGGGCUUUCAAGGAGACAAGAGGCCACUCAAUAAAGAACAAGACUCCUUUUUAAAAUAUUUUUCAAAGACAGUAAGGAAUCUGUAUUCAAGGGGGGAGGCUACUACGAUGAGGUUUUGUAGUAGGGGACAGAGAUCAGGGUUAACUCCCAAGAUUCCUUUUAAUAAAGCCAUGCCUAGUUCUCACUGGUAAACUUUUCGUCUUGCAAGAAUAUGAGGAUGAUCCCAGAAAUGCUUCCAGAAGAAAACAAAUAGGAUACUUUGAAUGCAACAAGGGUCAGAUUGGCUAAAGAUUUCACAUAAGAGACUCUGAACUUUAAAUAGAUGUCUUGAAAAUACCAAGGGAAAAUUAUGCUUAAACCUAGAAUCACAAAAUGCCAAGUUUUCUUUGACAUUUAAAGGACACAAAAAAUUUUGAGUAUGUAAGGACAAAGAAAGUUUUUCAGAUCUUUUCUGAAAGAAAUUACUCUAGGUUAUAUUUCAGGAAAAAAAAAUCCAAGAAAGCUGAAAUACUGAGGUAAAUAAACCUGUAACACUUACAGAUAAGUUAAAGAAGAAUAUUGAACUAAAACUCAGAUGAUUUUAAUGUGGGAGUUUGCUGUGAGGCUGGGGUGGAGAAUGGAAGAGAACUGAAAACUUGCUAAAGAUCUCCUCUUGUUUUGGAAGAUCAUAUAUGUGCUAAAUAAACCCAAAUGCUGGUAGCAAAUAUGGUUUCUUUAAAAAAAAUACUAUUUUUUUUUUUUGAGACAGAAUCUCACCCCAUCACCCAGGCUGGAGUGCAAUGGCAUGAUCUCGGCUCACUGCAAUCUCUGCCUCCGGGGUUCAAGCGACUCUUGUGACUUAGCCUCCCAAGUAGCUGGGACUACAGGCAUGCACCACCACGCCUGGCUAGUUUUUGUAUCUUUAGUAGAGGCUGGGUUUCACCAUGUUGGCCAGGUUGGUCUCAACUCCUGGCCUCAAGUGAUCUGCCCACCUUGGCCUCCCAAAGUGCUGGGAUUACAGGCGUGAGCCACUGUGCCCGACCCAGAAAAUAUAAGUUCAAUACAUUUUAAAUCCCUAAAAACAUAAAGAUUAAAAAUCACUAAGAAUGAAGAGUAAGCAUGGGGACAGGAGGAUGACAGAGAAGGGAUGGGAGGGACAGAGAAAGGAAGAGAGAGAAAAGAGAAGAGAAAAACCAAACACCUUCUUACUCAAAAUAAACAUGCACAUAUUACAUUCCCAAGCUCAUGAAGAAAUUGAAUGGCAGGGAUAAACAUUCCCAAGCUUAUGAAGAAAUUGAAUGGCAGGGAUAAAAACUAGGGGGGAAAAGCAAAAUACAAAUUCACUCCAGACAAAAACAAUUUCAUAGGUCAACCUGACAAAGACUUUUAAAAGAAGAAGACAUCAUGGCCAAGUAGAGGGUACUCCAUACAUGGAAGGAGAACCCUUAAGAAACCUAUUUAUGAUUCAAACAAACAGAUGAACGGAUUAAAAGGGAAAAAAGGAUAAGCUGAUCUUGACAGACACUCCUAAAUAUUUAAUAAUAAACAAGACAUUUCUGGUUAAAUGAACAAACAAACCCUGGCAAAUGAAGCAGUGGCGGAAACGUUGGCAUCACUGAAAGUCUGCCAGAAACCAAAGGCGAUGACAGAGUCAAGGGGGCACGUUAGUGUCCUCCUGUCAAAGCCUCACACAGGAGGCUCUCACUAUUGUCUUUACUUCCAGUGGUCAAUGUCCCUCAGAUCAUCUCUAAAUUCAAUGCAAUCAACAUGAAAAUUCCAAAAAGGAAUUUAAUGGGCUUGGCAAACUGAUUUUUAUUUUUAUUUUUGAGUUGGAGUCUCACUCUGUUGCCCAGGCUGGAGUGCAGUGGCGUGAUCUCGGCUCACUGCAAACUUUGCCUCCUGGGUUCAAGCAGUUCUCCCACUUCAGCAUCCCAAGUAGCUGGGAUUACAGGUGCACACCACCAAACCCGGCUAAUUUUUCGUAUUUUUAGUAGACAUGGGGUUUCACCGUGUUGGCCAGGCUGGUCUUGAACGUCCAACUUCAAGGGAUCUGCCUGCCUCAGCCUCCCAAAGUGCUGGGAUUAUAGGCAUGAGCCACUGUGCCUGGCCUUGGCAAACUGAUUCUAAAUUAUAACAAACCAGAGAUGAGAGACUUGCUCCAUUCGUUAGAAAAAUAAUAAGGAAUGUAGUGACAGCCAAAUGGAAGAGAAAACAAUAAAGAAAAUAACGAAGUAUGUAUAGAAGCCUAGGAUGUAAUAGGGGCACUUCAAAUCAUUGAAGAGAGGAGAAAUCACACACUCAUAAUUAGCAAUGUUAAGACAAUUAGAUGGUAAUUAUUUUUAAAAGUUACUUUACACAUUACUCACUUCUCUAAAUUCUAGGUGGGCUAAAAAUCUCAAAGUCAAAACCAAAAUAGUAAAAUUAUUAAAACUCUUUCUGUAAUCUUAGAGGUUUCAAGACACCAAACCAGAAACCAUAAAGUAAAAAGAGGUUUACAAGACACCUGUGAUCUUAGAGGUUUACAAGACACCAAAAUCAGAAACCAUAAAGUAAAAAGUAAUGACAGGUUUGACUUAACAAUGAAAACAUUUUUAUAUGACAUAAGACAUCUUAAACAUGGUAAAGAAAAAGAUAAGUCAUAACCUGGGAGAAUAUAUUUUCAACAUAUAUAAAUGGAUUAUUAAUACACGUAAUAAAUGAGUCACUCCAAAAGUUAAGAUGUAAAAGAGAAUUCAACAGGAGAUGAACAAAAAUUUCUCCACAUUCAUCAUAAAUGAAAUCCAAAAGGCCAAUCCACAUAUAGAAAAUGUACAACUUCACCCAUAAUCAGGGAAAGAAAAAAAUCACGCGACAUUGAGAAUUUCCAUACAUAAUAUUGGACAAAAUUAGAAGAUUGAUAAUUUCUCUAAAGGUAAAUUGGACCCUUUAUGCACUACCUUGGGGACGUCAGCUUAGCUCAGCUACUUUGAGGCUGAUUUGACAAUACCUAUUAUAAUUUCUAACGCACAACCUCUGCACAGCAAUUCUGCAUUUAGUAAUUUAGGCUACAGAAACACUUUCACAGAUGUGGAAAAAUUAGAAACAAUCUAGGUGUCGAUCAACGUGAGAUUAGAUGAAUUGUGGUGUACCCAUCCUAAUAAAUGCCACAUAUUUCUUAGGGUUACUUAACGAGUUAAAUCUGUAUGUAUUAUUGUAGAAAUUUGGAAAUAUUCCAAAAUACAAUAUUAAGUGAAAAAAUUAGGAAUAUAUAUAUAUAUAUAUAAAUAAAAUAAUCCCAUUUCUGUAAAAAGAAAAACUACCAUCCUGGCACAGUGGCUCAAGCCUGUAAUCCCAGCAUUUUGGGAGGCUGAGACAGGCGGAUCAUCUGAGGUCAGGAGUUCGAGACCAGCCUGGCCAAUAUGGUGAAACCCUGUCUCUACUAAAAAUACAAAAAUUAGCCACGUGUGGUGGCUCAUGCCUGUAAUCCCGGCUACUCAGGAGGCUGAGGCAGGAGAAUCACCUGAACCCGGGAGGCAGA